UUAAUACUCUCUCCGUCCCAAAAUUCUUGUCUUACAUUUUUCUAGAUACGAAUGUAUCUAAUACUAAAAUGUGACUUGAUACAUCCGUAUUUAGACAAAUCUAAGACAAGAAAUUUUGGGACGGAGGGAGUAUAUC
rnacentral:pre_miRNA from 1 species